rnacentral:rRNA from 1 species
GACGAACGCUGGCGGCGUGCUUAACACAUGCCAGUCGAACGAUGAAGCCUAGCUUGCUAGGUGGAUUAGUGGCGAACGGGUGAGUAAUACGUGAGUGUCCUACCUUUGACUCUGGGAUAAGCCUGGGAAACUGGGUCUAAUACCGGAUACGACCAAUCUCCGCAUGGGGUGUUGGUGGAAAGCGUUAUGGAGUGGUUUUAGUUGGGCUCACUGCCUAUCAGCUUGUUGGUGAGGUAAUGGCUUACCAAGGCGACGACGGGUAGCCGGCCUGAGAGGGUGACCGGCCAAACUGGGAAUGAGACACGGCCCAGACGCCAACGGGAGGCAGCAGUGGGGAAUAUUGCACAAUGGGCGCAAGCCUGAUGCAGCGACGCCGCGUGAGGGAUGACGGCCAUCGGGUUGUAAACCGCUGUUAGCAACGAAGAAGCGAAAGUGACGGUAGGUGCAGAGAAAGCGCCGGCUAACUACGUG